rnacentral:rRNA from 1 species
GACGAACGCUGGCGGCGUGCUUAACACAUGCAAGUCAGGGGGCCCGCAAGGGUCACCGGCGAACGGGUGCGUAACACGUGAACAACCUGCCCGAGCGAGGGGGAUAGCCGGCCCAACGGCCGGGUAAUACCGCAUAUGCUCACAGUGCCUUAUGGCGCAGUGAGGAAACCUUCGGGGCGCUCGGAGGGGUUCGCGACCUAUCAGCUAGUUGGUGUGGGUAAUGGCCCACCAAGGCGACGACGGGUAGCUGGUCUGAGAGGAUGGCCAGCCACAUUGGGACUGCGACACGGCCCAGACUCCUACGGGAGGCAGCAGUGGGGAAUAUUGCGCAAUGGUCGAAAGACUGACGCAGCGACACCGCGUGGAGGAUGACGCCCUUCGGGGUGUAAACUCCUGUUGCUCGGGACGAACCGUGGAAUUCAUUCCACCUGACGGUACCGAGUGAGGAAGCACUGGCUAACUCUGUGCCAGCAGCCGCGGUAAUACAGAGGGUGCGAGCGUUGUCCGGAAUCACUGGGCGUAAAGGGCGCGUAGGCGGCUUGGCAAGCGUGCGGUGAAAGCUCGGGGCUCAACCCCGAGUCGGCCGUGCGAACUGCCGGGCUUGAGCACAGUAGAGGCAGAUGGAAUUCCGGGUGUAGCGGUGGAAUGCGUAGAGAUCCGGAAGAACACCGGUGGCGAAGGCGGUCUGCUGGGCUGUGUCUGACGCUGAGGCGCGACAGCGUGGGGAGCAAACAGGAUUAGAUACCCUGGUAGUCCACGCCGUAAACGAUGGGCACUAGAUGCUUGGGGGAGCGACCCCCUGAGUGUCGUCGCUAACGCAUUAAGUGCCCCGCCUGGGGAGUACGGCCGCAAGGCUG